rnacentral:rRNA from 1 species
AUUGAACGCUGGCGGCAGGCCUAGCACAUGCAAGUCGAGCGGAUGAGUGGAGCUUGCUCCAUGAUUCAGCGGCGGACGGGUGAGUAAUGCCUAGGAAUCUGCCUGGUAGUGGGGGACAACGUUUCGAAAGGAACGCUAAUACCGCAUACGUCCUACGGGAGAAAGCAGGGGACCUUCGGGCCUUGCGCUAUCAGAUGAGCCUAGGUCGGAUUAGCUAGUUGGUGGGGUAGAGGCCUACCAAGGCGACGAUCCGUAACUGGUCUGAGAGGAUGAUCAGUCACACUGGAACUGAGACACGGUCCAGACUCCUACGGGAGGCAGCAGUGGGGAAUAUUAGACAAUGGGCGAAAGCCUGAUCCAGCCAUGCCGCGUGUGUGAAGAAGGUCUUCGGAUUGUAAAGCACUUUAAGUUGGGAGGAAGGGUUGUAGAUUAAUACUCUGCAAUUUUGACGUUACCGACAGAAUAAGCACCGGCUAACUCUGUGCCAGCCGCCGCUGUAACAC